rnacentral:rRNA from 1 species
GAGUUUGAUCGUGGCUCAGAUUGAACGCUGGCGGCAUGCCUUACACAUGCAAGUCGAACGGCAGCACGGGAGCUUGCUCCUGGUGGCGAGUGGCGAACGGGUGAGUGAUGCAUCGGAACGUAUCCUGGAGUGGGGGAUAACGUAGCGAAAGUUACGCUAAUACCGCAUAUUCUGUGAGCAGGAAAGCGGGGGACCUUCGGGCCUCGCGCUCUUGGAGCGGCCGAUGUCGGAUUAGCUAGUUGGUGAGGUAAAGGCUCACCAAGGCGACGAUCCGUAGCAGGUCUGAGAGGAUGAUCUGCCACACUGGAACUGAGACACGGUCCAGACUCCUACGGGAGGCAGCAGUGGGGAAUUUUGGACAAUGGGGGCAACCCUGAUCCAGCCAUGCCGCGUGAGUGAAGAAGGCC